GCAUCCCUUGACUGCUUUCAGAGGAAUGGAAAAUAUGGAAUUAUCAGAUGCCAGUGUUUCUUCCUCAGAGCUACCUGAUUCAACAGUUGAUGAAUCCCAAAGCAGGAAACGCUUCAUAAGUUCAAGUUCUGAUGAGGAUGAUGACUGUGAUUUAGCUAAAAGAAAAUGUGAGGAAGACCGGGUGGUUUCCGAAUCAGCUAACAGGCUUUUGGAAACACUUUCAUCAGAACCAGCAAUACCAUCCUCUGAGCAGGGGGUUACAGAAAAUUCAUCAGGGGCAGCUAAAGAAGAAGAAGUGAAGUCACCAUCUAUCGCUGCUAUUUGGAAGCUAUGCUGCGUAGCAUCAAGCCAGCUACAAGAGACCCCUGAAAUGAGUGCUAUUCAACGCCCAGGCCAUGUGAUUAUGUCAAGCAUUCUUGGAUUGGAUGUCAAGACUGAAACAGGGAAUGUAGAGCAGAAGACGGUCAUGUUGGAGACCGCCAAAGCAACCGUUUACGGGAUAUUAGAUCACUGUUUAAACGAAAUAUUAUUUGAGGCGUGUCCGGGUUGUCAGAUUUUUGCAGGGAAUCAGAUGAGUCAUGAAUGUGUGUUAUGGAACAACAAAUUCCUAAGCAAAAAAUUGAAGGAUAUUUGUGGAAAUUUAUGCUUCAUAAAUACCCUUCAUAUUUUUCUUUUGAUAGGUUACUGUCAAAACUCUCUGUAUAUGACCUCUGAAAUAUUGGACUACAUUAUGAAUUUGGUAACAUAUAUUGGCCAAACUGAUAAGGCUAUUAAAGUUCUAAAUGCUGGAUUGAAGAGUUGCAACCAGGAGAUUCUGCAGCAAGUCAAAACUGUGCUAAAAAACCGUCCAUACAAACAUUAUGUCAAAUUUUGGCCUAUUAUAACUAAUUUUAAGAAAGAGUAAAACUUGCAGCUAUUGAUGACUGUUUUUAAAAAUUCAAAAAAGUGUGUUACAUUGAAAUAAAAUAUAUGGUACUUUCAAUAAUGGGAUAAAAUAAAAUGGAUUUAAAAACAACAUAAUGCUCAAUGUGUUUUUUAUUUGAGGGCUUCCCUUUAGAAGUACAUUUAAUGAACACUCAUAAGAUUUCUAAUGUAUAUAUAUAUAUCUAACUAAAUAGAAAAGUGAAAAUGCGUGCCUGUUUAUUGAUCCUUCUGACAAAACAGGAAAUGCAUAUUUCAGUGGUCAUGCCAUGGACAGAUGCUGAUGACUUCUGAAAAACAGAGAUAAUAACCAUCUCUGUGCCUGGAUCUUUAAGUGUUACAUUCCUUUAGAAAUACGACCUUAUAACCCAACAUGCCCCAUUUACC
rnacentral:lncRNA from 11 species